rnacentral:ncRNA from 1 species
GAUUGUUUGCCGCCGGGUAAAUUUUAAGCAUUGGUUUCGUAUCGAUAGGCCAUUGAAGAUACGACAAUCAGUGCUUUUCUUUUG